AUGUGCGCUCGCCGCACAUUUUUUCACGAUAGGAAACGGUGGAAGGAUGAGGGCUUCGUCGACAAAUGUCAGAGAAGUGUUUCCGUUUUAUCAUCCCUCGACGGUGCGAAGAUCCUUCGAUGGAUUGGCAAAACGAGGACUCGGAUCAGUCGAGUGUUGAGAAUCUGAAAUGGGAUGAGAAUGAUCAUCCCGUGACUAGGACGGAAGAUGCUGCAGCCGCCGUUGUUUUGGAUCGCAAUGUUUGUUCUCAAGGAGUUCAGGUUGAAAUUGGACCUUACAAAAACAUUAGAAACUUUACAUCCGCUUUAAAAAAUUUGGAGCUUGAGACGAAUGACAGCGAUCCUUCAGAACUUAGAACGAACGACGCGCAAACGGAUUACUUUAACGAUUCCGAGCAAGAAGAGAACAUCCCGGUUUUCAAGACGAGGGAAAUAUCAACUUUCCAAUUAGUAAUCCAGGGAAUGGAAAUUUUAAAUUUCCAGGGUACAAGGCAUUCCCCCGCGGAGAUUGCGCCUUAUUGGAAGAAAGAUUCUCGGAUGUGGCUGUGGAAGUCAGUGAGGCUUGAGAGAAAAAAAAGAACUAAAGCGAAGGCUCCUGCAAGCACUUUGUAUCGUGAAGAUCUUUCGUAGUGUAUUUUUUUAUUUGAUGAUUUUUA